rnacentral:tRNA from 1 species
GGAGGGGAGAGCUCCAUGGUAGGGCGCGUGCUUAGCACGCACAAGGUCCUGGGUUCAAUCCCCAGUACUUCCA